rnacentral:piRNA from 1 species
UGGCCAAACGUACCAAGAAAGUCGGGAU